CUUGCUCUGCCGACACUCCGACACACAGGCAGGAGAUUGUGAAAAAUUUGUGACGUUUAUGCUGCUGUGGCUAAACCGCAAUUCCCUUUCCCUAAUGUGUAAAAUGUUGUGCCGAUUUUUUUUUUAAUAUCCCUGAAAUUCCAAGCGAACUGUUUACAAGCAAAAUUUAGUGGUUUUUGAAUAUAUAGUGAAAGGAAAAUUGGUGCUGGUAGAAAUAAUAAUGCUUUUAUUAGUGCUCGAAUGUGAAUACAAGAAACGAUAGCUUGGUACUCGAUAGAUUUAUAAAUUGAAAGGUGCUUUAUCAGCAGUAGUAUGAGUAAUCCAUAUCGUGGACGACCGACUCGAUCGAGAGUGGACACAACAACUGGCUAUGGAUUGCAAAAUCAAAAUUCUUGGAAUUCAAUGCCGGGUCAAGUGCCAUCGAACGUACCGCAGGGCAAUGUCUUCCAUACUCAAGCAACUGGAGUAAAUCAACCGAAAUCCACCGAUCCAUGGGACUGGGGCACAGACAAUGGAAAUAACGGCAACGAUUCAUGGAAUUGGAGCGUUGAUCAACAACCGGAAGCUCAUUAUUCACCGCAACAACCUCAGCAACAGCAGCAGCAACAACAACAACAACAAAAUCAGUUCAUUCCCUACCAGAAACAAACGCCACCAGCUCAGGAUAAUUACUACAAGAGUUUAAACGGAAAUAAUAGACCAUUAACAAAUCAGCAUUCCACAUCAGGUAGAAAUACUCCGCGAACAAAUCUCAGUCGUGAAUCAACUCCAAAUCACGCGGACCCAUAUUUUUCGUAUCAGAAUUAUACAUUUAAUCAGCAAUUACCACCAGCGCAGAGACCAAGUUCGACAAAAUCGAAUUCAUCAGAACAUUGGGCGAGUGAUCAACAACAAUUUUCCUUCUCGCCACAAAGUUUACCGCCGCAAACGCAUUCGUCACAGCCGCCAGUUGGGAAUUUCAAUUGGAACGAACGGCAGGCAGUUUCGCUGCAAAAUUGGCAGGAGCAGCCGAAAAAUCCCGGAUAUUGGCAGGAGGCGGCCAAUGAAACUGGGAAUCAGUGGAGUCAACAGCAACCGAUUCCCUCGCCUCAGACUCCGCAGCAGCAGACUUCGCCUUUGCAAAAUAUUCAUCAGCAGACUUCGCCUUUGCAAAAUCUUCAUCAGCAAACGCCUCUUUUGCCAACUGCUCAUCAGCAAACGCCUCCUUUGCCAACUGCUCAUCAACAAACGCCCGUUCCUCCCCAAACUCCAAUUCAAAUCCACCAGCAAACUCCUCCGAUUCAACAAAAUUCCCAAAUUCCCGCUCAAACUUUCCAACAAAUUCCCAAUUUCCCACAAUCACCACAAUCACAAAAUUGGCCCGUGGAACAACAGGAGCAACGAGGCUGGUCGAACAAUUCCGAUCAAUGGCAGAAUCAAAAUUCCGAAGCCUUCUCUGGUCAAAACCCCCAAUGGUCAUCAAAUCCCCAACAAUGGCAACAGGAACCAAGUCAAGAGAUUUCAAACUCUUGGCAAUCCCAACAAACUGAUCAUCCCAUCAAAGAAAAUUCCCCCGACAAUGAAUCGAAUCGAAUUUCCUCCACCGAAUGGCAGACAAUUCGCCCCUCAGCACAUUUUGCCUCAUCAAACGCCUCCACUACCUCAGGAUCAACCGCGAAUAUUUCCAAUAUCACCGAGCAGACCGAGGAGAGAAAGAAACUAACACCAGCCACUAGUUCAACUUCCCUGAACGAUUCAACAAAUCUAUCAUCCGGUCCACAAACUAAAGCGAAAGCCACCUUCAGCGCUCAGGACAGUCUUCAAGAUCAGGAGAAUAUCGAACUCGAUUGGAAUGCCGACAGUGAAUGGCAAACAACCGAACUUGCGACUGGACUCAAUCAAAUGAAUAUCUCGUCGAAAAAUUCCCAAGAUAAUCAAAAAACAAAAAUUGAUUCCCCUGCCGAAGGGGAAAAUUCAAUUGAUGAGAGUGAGAGGGAAAUUCAAGAUCAAGGGGAAACUGGCUAUGAUCAAUGGUAUAAUCAGAGUAAUCAGAGUAGUUCGAUGAGAUUCACGAAUAUUCGGAGUCAAAAAUGGUCGGCUGAGCAGAAUGUGGAGAAUUAUGAGAAUAUUCAACAACAGGCGGCGGAUUUCAUGAAUUUGGAAGUUGUCGCUCCGGAAAUGCAAGUUAAGGAUAUUUAUGGAUCGAGGGAAUCGAUUAAUCAGGAGACGUUGGAUAAUGAUCAGAAAAUCGCUUCGCCAAAGGAGACGGUUAGGGAGUUUAAUAAUGUCGAGGUUCCUUCGUUGAUCAAUCAACCAGAACAGGCGCCGGACAAUUACGAAUUUGCAUCAAACGAUCGGAAUACAUUCUUGGAGACUGGCGAAUUAACGGAUUCGCAUGAGGAGCACGAGCCAACGCCACCGAGCCAGGAGGAUGAAAAUGACGAGGUACCGAACGAUAUUCCAUUCCUGAGGGAAGUACCAGGUCAGAGUUCAGUGGAUCCGCGAAGAAAUGAUCCAACUGGUCAGGAGCAAUACGGACAGGCGCGUAUCACUGAUCCAAGGAGGAAUGAUCCUUCGGGACAGGAGCAGACGCAAGUCAGAAGUGUUGUCGAUCGUGCUGAGAGACGUGACGUUCCACCGGGUCAAGAGAGAAUCACUCCAUUAUUGCAGAGAGUCGAUAAUACGGACAUAAUGGAGCGAAGAAACGAUCCAUCGGGUAGAGAGAGAUCACUGCCGCCGCCACCACCACCGCCGCAACAGCCGCGAAACGAUCCAUCGGGCGAGGAACGAUCAUCACUGCAACAAAUUCCAAUUCAAGUUCCACUUGAGUCGAGUGAAUCGCGCGAAAUACCCGGCAGGGGAAACGAAAUCGAGGAGGCAAUUCAGCAGAGCGACAGUGAUCUCAGGCAAAUUCUUGGCGGCUCAUCGCCUAAUGAAUCGAUCCAGACGGUUAAUGAUAGAUCUCGGGUUAUUACUGGAUCACAGGAAGUUAUGAAUUCUGCUCCUUUGGCAAUCAUGCAAGAAUCGGUCGCUGAAAGUCGAAGCAAACGAGAAGAGGCAGUUGGUGCUUCAAUAGAGGGAAAAGGACCGACUAGAUCCCAAAAUCGAAGAGAUUCCUUCGAGGAUGGUGACGAUGAGCACUCGACGAACGGUCGAGAUGAAAGUAGAGAAAGAUUGAGAGAAGGAAGCACCGAACACAAACGAUUCGAAUCAAAUCGACCCUACUAUGACCGUGAACGGGAAUAUGAGGACGAUUAUUAUUAUGAGCGUCGUCGGGGAGAUUACGAUCGUCCCUACAAUUCACGGGAGGAUUUGGAUCGUCAAAACGCAUCUUUUCGCGAUGAAGAACGCAGACAUGGGAGUCGUGACGAUUUGGAUCGACAUGGACGUGAGGAAGCGGAUAGAAGAAUGAGACCAAAAAGCGAUGCUGAGGAGCGCGAUGGCAGGAGAAGAAUUGAAGAUCAUCGUCGUGAACGUGAGGAAUUAAGACGUCGUGAUCGUCAGGGAAGGGAUUAUGAUCCACGUUAUUCGCGGGAAAGAGAAUUUCCUGAUCGCGAUAGACGGCGUGACGAUAGAAGACCGAGAUUUGAUUCAAUGAGGAAAUUUGAUGAUUACGAUCCUAGAGAUCCUUACAGACGGGAAUAUUAUGAUGAUCCUUACAAUAGAACUUCACGGCCAUCAAGCAGAUCUUCCUAUAAUGACAGAGAUCGAGAAUACUACAUGCGAUCAAGAGAUCCCUAUUAUGGUUACAACGGUUACGGAGCGGGUUAUGAUUACGGAUCGAAUUAUAACAAUAAUUACUAUCUUUAUUUGGAAAAUUUGCGUCGCACUAAUCCAACUGCCUAUAUGGAAUGGUAUCACAAAUAUUAUGCGAGUCAACGACAGCAACAGCAUCCUGCCAGUGUCAGUACCACUUAUCCAGAGGACAGAGCAAGUGUUCAUUCAGGUCGAAGCUCAUGCGAUGAUAGAACCACCAGUGAAAAGCGUAAUUUAGGCGAAGUAACGACAUUCGAUGAUUCUAUCAUUGCAACAUCUCGCAUGACACCAACUAAAUUUUCCACGGCUCACGUGAAGGGCUCAUUUUCAAUUGGAUGUUUGCUUCAUGUGCAUCCAGCUUAUCCAGCUGAUGGAGAACGGGCGAAAUUGGACAUUUUCAGAGUUGAUAAUCUCUUGCAAAAUGAUCCAGUUGCCCGUGAACUGCGAACCUAUCCUGGACCAUUAAUUAAGCAAGUAGGUGUGACACACAAGAAGACCAUCAUCGAAUACUGCGAGAAUAAAAUAAAAAAAGCGGCGAGCAAUAAUGACAUGAUGGAUCGGGCUUCCUAUAUUCUUCUUUAUGAACUUAUGAUCAUGCUCAUUCAACAAAAUGGGAAUGUCGUUGGAGUUGAUAUUGCAGCGCUUUUGCUACGAAAUAAAGACGCAUAUCCCUACAAUAAAAAUCUUCGUGAACCAGUGAGACGUGAAUCGACCAUAUCGCAAAGAUCUGCCGGCUCAGGGGAAGAUGGAAAUGUUCGCGAUACACUCACACCGAAUGAGAAGGAAGACACUGCGAAACAACGAAAAACAAUAAAUCAAUUGACGGACGAAUUUCGAAAUACUUUACUCUACGGUCUCGUACAGGAAGCUUUAGAAUUCGCGAUGGAUGAGGGACUUUGGGGACACGCUCUUUUCCUCGCUAGUAAAUUGGAUAAACGAACUCACGCCUCAGUUAUGACCCGUUUUGCAAACAGUUUACCAUCAAACGAUCCUCUCCAAACUUUAUAUCAACUUCAUUCUGGUCGAGUUCCAGCGAGCGUUACUUGUGUUGCGGACGCAAAUUGGGACGAUUGGCGACCCCAUUUGGCAAUGAUAAUUUCAAAUGCCUCACAAAAUCCAGAAGUGAAUCAUCGAUCAAUAACAAUUCUCGGCGAUACAUUGGCAGCAAGAGGCGACAUAAAUGCCGCGCAUUUUUGCUAUAUUUUAGCGCAAAGCGAUUUUGGACCGUACGGCACGAAUGGAGUGAAAUUAGUUCUCAUUGGUUCGAAUCAUCAUAAAUCAUAUUCUGAAUUUAUCAACAAUGAUGCAAUAAUGUUGACGGAAAUUUAUGAGUACGCUCGUAAUUUAAGUGAACCUGGCUUUACAAUUGUUGAUUUGCAAAAUUUCAAAUUUCACCUCGCAUUGAAAAUGGUUGACUAUGGAUUAAUCGAGAAGGCAUUACUUUAUAUUGAACAAAUUGCGGUGAAUAUUGCCAAUGAACCAGCAAAAUAUAAAAUAUCAUUUAUCAAUGAAAUUUAUACUUUGGGCAAUAGAAUUAAAUUUCACGAUCCUGUUUGUAAGGAUUCUGUCGAGGACGUCGCUAAUCUUGUUUGGCUCAAUAAACUCGAGGAGAUUGUCAACAAAUAUCAGAGUGGAGAAAUUGUUCAAGAAACUGGUUACGUUUCGCAAGCGACGCCAGAAUUGCAGGGGAUGAAUCAGAGUCAUUAUGAGGCUCAGCAGCAAAAUUGGAGUCAACAACAAAUUCAGGGGGAAUAUGAGGCGCCAAUUUCGAUGUUGGAUGUACCAAUGGAGCAACAACAGCAGCAGCAGCAACAACAACAACAACAACAACAGCACUCGGACUGGCAGGUUCAACAUUCGAAUAUUCAGGAACCUUACAGUUUAACGGAACAUACUGAUCAAUAUUCUGGAACAAAUCUCGAUUCCUCUCAUUAUCAGCAAACACAACAGGAUUAUUGGAAUCAACAAAAUUAUAAUCAACAGGAAUACACUGCUCAGGAUUGGCAACAAUCUCCUCAGUAUUCGACGGAUCAGACCGAAGUCGAUAAUAAGCAACAGGGAAAUUGGGGUUAUGAGGCUGGACAGUCGGAAAAGGAUGAAAAAUCAUCAUCAACACAGGAACAGCAACAACCGCAAAUUUCAUUGGGUCCAUCGGCAACGAAACAAUAUGAUCCACUAGAGGAAUUGGACGCAUUGGAUUCACCGAAACAAGUGGCGAAAGCAGCGCAAUCAGUGGAAAAUAAAAAAUCAACGGAUAAAUUGUCGGAGAAGAAAAAUGCGAAUUCAGGGAGUUCGUGGUUUGGUGGACUUUUCAGUAAACUUGCGCCAAAACCAAAAAAUCAAAUGAUUCUACCCGACGACAAUAAUCCAUCGAUUGUUUGGGAUUCAGUGGCUGGCAAAUGGAUGAAUAAAGAGGACGGCGAAGACAGUGUGAGUGGAACGGUUGGACCGCCACCAAAAGCUAGUGAUUUGGGAUUCAAGAAUUUACAACCGGAACGAAAUGUGACUCAACAACACUUGCUACCGCCAAGUGGUCAAAAUGAUGAAUCGAUGGCUGUGAAUAGUUCGAAAUUAAUCACUGGCAGCAAUGUUUACAAAUUGCAAAAGGGUCGAAGUAUGCGAGCUAAUUAUAUCGAUGUAAUGAAUCCAAAUGGAGGGAAAAGUUCUGGAGUUUCAUCCAAUUUACAAACGCCAGCAAAUUCACCAAUGGCGCCCAUCGCAUCUUCCUCGCCUCAAGUUUUUGUUCCCGCUCCCGUGAAUGAUCCCAACGCUCCCAUGGACUUUUUGUCUUCAUCGUCGAUCCCAACGCAACAAACUGCCGAAAACCCUCCUCAAGAGCAGUCGGGGAAGCAGAAUGAUGUAGCCAAAUAACAAAAAAGUUUCCAAUUCUCUCUCGCUGGAGCUCAACCAGCUCAUUAUCACGAGAAGUGCAAAGCUACACAAUGAGAGAUCCGCGCCUCCUUCAACGGGACAAGGGACCAAUGAUGUUUAAUCCCAUGGAUAUGAAGGAUCGUCCUCAAAAAAUUGCACAACGCAGUCGAUAUCCACCUCGAUAGGAACGAU